rnacentral:tRNA from 1 species
AACUAUAUAGUCAAAUAUGAUAUCAAAUUGCAAGUUUGAGGGUAAGGUUACUUUGUAGUUU